GUUGGGAAAAAGAAAGACGCGGAAAGCAUCGGAAAACUUAACUCUUUCUACACUCGCUUCCAGGUGAGGCAGGCUCCUCAUGACGCGAUGAAAACGUCAUCAAACAUCGACAUUCACUUGGAAAAUAACACAAUAUGACUCACUGUAGCUACAAUAAACUCUCACAUUUAUUAAAGUUAACCACCGCUAACCUAAAUAAACCUACAUUGUUACGGACAGGAUAUUCAACAUCCACCACUACGCUGCAAAUAUGUCAUACGUUUUCAUAGGACCUCAGGUCCUGAGAGGGCGUUGCAGGAACGACAGAAGCAGCACAUGGCACGCAAAAAAAAAAACAUUGCUGGAGUGAAACAAGUUAGUGGUGGCCUCAGGGAAUGGGGGUGUUGGGAAAUCAACCACUUCAGGUUAAGCAGGUUCUUAUUGGGCUCUCUGCGCUGCUCAUUCAUGAAACAUUUACACAAAUGUGUAGGCUACAAUUUGCAAACAGACAGUGGUUUGGCCUUAUCUUUUUGUACUGCAUGUACUAUAUAUUUAUAUAUAGUGUAAUCAUUCGCUUUCCUACUACUUUUGCAUUUCUUCCCCUCAACAGUGAAUUUGGCCGUUGGAUUCGCAGCUAAUGAUCCAGUAAGGAAUGCAUGCAUCAUUAUUAAUUUGCACAUUUUGUUAUAACUGUUGCAUAUGUAACAGUACUCUUCUUGCGUUGUGUACAAUCGAUCAUCGACACGAACUCCAACCAGUAGCACCAGUCAUGGAGCUUUAUUCUGAUAGGAACAGCACAAAAUUGCACGUCAUGCAAUGCACGGUUCACCAUCCAACUCUGCACUCACACACGCUGGUUUGGUGCUUGUUCACUGGGCAUGUAGUUACCAAAAUAAUACAAUUACAAUAUACCAUAUAAUAUCUUUAACAAUGUACCUGAUAGGAACAGCACAAAAUUGCACGUCAUGCACGGCUCACCAUCCAACUCUGCAUUCACGCACUGUACAAAAUAUACGUACCCCCCCCCCCCGCCCCCCCCAACAGACACAGUAAGUUGCUAGCUAGAAUUAGCUGGAAUUCUCUAUAACAAAAUGCACAACAAAUAUUCACAAAAAAACGCUGCAUCUUAUGUGUGAUUUUCGAAUAACAUUUACAAACAAAUUGAUAUAAAUUGUACAUUUAAAUCAUCACUUGGGAGUAUAAAAAUCCCUUUUGACGUACAGUGCUUUGCAACCAACAACUUACCGCAGGUUUGGUGCUCGUUUACUGGGACGAUUCUAACGGAAACAUCCUCCCUCGUAAGCAAGCUACGCAAACCAGCCAAUAAGAUGCCAUGUUGAGUAGGUGAAGGCAAGACAAGACUAAAACCAAAAACCCAUUGGCUUAACAAUAAAGUGGCAAGGGGAAUCACCAAUAUAACCCUGUUACACAUACCAAUUUCUGCCCAAAUAGUUGUGCAGAACCAUGACAAUCUCUCUCUCCAUUUUACUACUGCUGUACUACCCAUUGUCCACUCAAUUGCUCUUCAUGUAUCUUUUCUGCACUCAGAGUAAAAGAGUGGGCAUCUUAGAUGCUGAUGUUUACGGUCCCUCAGUUCUAAAGCUGAUGAACCGGAAGGGGAACCCAGAACUAACUGACAGUAGGAGACUUCUGCAUGUAGUCUAGCUUGAGGAAUAACAGUGAUGUAUUAGCUUUGUACAUUCAUUAUAGAGAUCACAUUGAAAAGAGUACCUACAAAGUUGUGUGGUGUUUACUUUAUUUGUGCUUUCAGACAAUCUCUGAGACCACUUGUGAAUUUUGGGAUUCCUUGUAUGUCCAUGGAGUUUCUGGUAGAGGAUGUAGCACCCAUCGUCUGGUAGAUGGGGGACUGCUGGAGUACCUGGCUAUUGACAUGCCACCUGGAACUGGAGAUGUUCAGUUAUCAAUCACUCAGAAUAUCCCAAUAGCAGGAGCAGUGAUUGUGUCCACUCCUCAGGAUCUUGCCUUGCUGGAUGCACGCAGAGGAGCAUAAAUGUUCAGAAAAGUCAAUAUACCAGUAAGAGCAUUGGAUGCUAAAUGCCACUUUGUAUCAACUCCACAUAAUUAUGAAAAAGGUCUUACUUAAAUUAUUUUCAAAUGACCUUGGUAAGGACAAAAUACACAUUUGUGAGAUUGAGCUACAUUUGAAGUCGGAAGUUUACUUACACUUAGGUUGGAGUCAUUAACUCGUUUUUCAACCACUCCACAAAUUUCUUGUUAACAAACUAUAGUUUAGGCAAGUCGGUUAGGACAUCUACUUUGUGCAUGACACAAGAAAUUUUUCCAAAUCAAAUUUAUUUAUAUAGCCCUUCUUACAUCAGCUGAUAUCUCAAAGUGCUGUACAGAAACCCAGCCUAAAACCCAAAACAGCAAGCAAUGCAGGUGUAGAAGCACGUUGUUUACAAUUGUUUACAGACAGAUUAUUUCACUUAUAAUUCACUGUAUCACAAUUCCAGUGGGUCAGAAGUUUACAUACACUAAGUUGACUGUGCAUUUAAACAGCUUGGAAAAUUCCAGAAAAUUAUGUCAUGGCUUUAGAAGCUUCUGAUAGGCUAAUUGACAUCAUUUGAGUCAAUUGGAUGUGUACCUGUGGAUGUAUUUCAAGGCCUACCUUCAAACUCAGUGCCUCUUUGCUUGACAUCAUGGGAAAAUCUAAAGAAAUCAGCCAAGACCUCAGAAAAAGAUUGUAGACCACAAGUCUGGUUCAUCCUUGGGAGCAAUUUCCAAAUGCCUGAAGGUACCACGUUCAUCUGUACAAACACUAGUACGCAAGUAUAAACACCAUGGGACCACGCAGCCAUCAUACCGCUCAAGAAGGAGACACGUUCUGUCUCCUAGAGAUGAACGUACUUUGGUGCGAAAAGUGCAAAUCAAUCCGAGAACAACAGCAAAAGACCUUGUGAAGAUGCUGGAGGAAACAGGUACAAAAGUAUCUAUAUUCACAGUAAAAUGAGUCCUACAUCGACAUAACCCGAAAGGCCACUCAGCAAGGAAGAAGCCACUGCUCCAAAACCGCCAUAAAAAUGCCAGACUACGGUUUGCAACUGCACAUGGGGACAAAGAUCGUAUUUUUUGGAGAAAUGUCCUCUGGUCUGAUGAAACAAAAAUAGAACUGCUCGGCCAUAAUGACCAUUGUUAUGUUUGGAGGAAAAGGGGGGAUGCUUGCAAGCCGAAGAACACCAUCCCAAUCGUGAAGCAUGGGGGUGGCAGCAUCAUGUUGUGGGGGUGCUUUACUGCAGGAGGGACUGGUGCAUUUCACAAAAUACAUGGCAUCAUGAGGCAGGAAAAUUAGGUGGAUAUAUUGAAGCAACAUCUCAAGACAUCAGUCAGGAAGUUAAAGCUUGGUCGCAAAUCGGUCUUCCAAAUGGACAAUGAAACCCAAGCAUACUUUCAAAGUUGUGGCAAAAUGGCUUAAAGACAACAAAGUCAAGGUCUUGGAGUGGCCAUCAAAAAGCCCUGACUUCAAUCCUAUAGAUAUUUUUUGGGCAGAACUGAAAAAUUGUUUGCGAGCAAGGAGGCCUACAAACCUGACUCAGUUACACCAGCUCUGUCAGGAGGAAUGGGCCAAAAUUCAUCAAAUUGUGUAUUCGUCACUGUAACAUUGUGUACGUUUUACACUUUUGAGAGUUUGCCAUGUUAGUUUUCUACCUGGGUUUGUUUAAUAUAUAUAAAUUUGCCAAUGCCUAUUGUGUUAGGCUGAGGCCUACAGAAAAGUGCCGUCUGCCGCGGUCCAGCGUCUAGAAGAACUUUCUGGUUGAGUGACUGCCAUCUACUGUGUAGGACAACUGGACAACUAGUAAUCUACAGAAAAUAGACCAGAACACUGCACUUCUCCUUAUCCCCCACUGUUGCCGCAGAGUCUGCAGAAAUCCAUGUUAUCUGAUCCAGUUUCAUGUAUAUAUUACAUGCUAACUCUAUUGAAUGAUGUACAGAAUAUUGGGCUUUCAUUGUUGUGACAGUGAUAACAUUAUGUUCAGUUUCAAUCUGUCUCUUCAAACCGGUGAGUAUUUAAUCUAUAGAUUGUGUUCAGUCUGAUGUUCAAAUACAACAAGUUUAAUUUAAACCUUGAGACCACAAUGUACAGUCCACAGUAAACUCAUUGGUUGUUAUUUUUGUCCUAAAGCAUAAGGUGAAAAUAAAGGAAUGCUUUGGUUGUA